GAUCCUGGCUUAGGAUGAACGCUGGCGGCGUGCUAACACAUGCAAGUCGAACGGAGUUUUAACGGAAGUUUCGGAUGGAAGUUAGAACUAGUGGCGGACGGGUGAGUAACGCGUGGGUAACCUGCCUCAUACAGGGGGAGUAACAGUUAGAAAUGACUGCUAACACCGCAUAAUAUAGCGAAACCGCAUGAUUUUUGCUAUCAAAUAUUUAUAGGUAUGAGAUGGGCCCGCGUCUGAUUAGCUAGUUGGUGGGGUAAAAGCCUACCAAGGCGACGAUCAGUAGCCGGCUUGAGAGAGUGACCGGCCACAUUGGGACUGAGACACGGCCCAAACUCCUACGGGAGGCAGCAGUGGGGAAUAUUGGACAAUGGGGGAAACCCUGAUCCAGCGAACCGCCGCGUGAGUGAAGAAGUGUUUCGGUAUGUAAAGCUCUAUCAGCAGGGAAGAUAAUGACAGUACCUGACUAAGAAGCCCCGGCUAACUACGUGCCAGCCGCUGC
rnacentral:rRNA from 1 species